rnacentral:lncRNA from 1 species
CAUCCUAAAUCAUACCAUCAAUACUUGAAUAACACGACCUGCUGAAGAUCACUAUACUUCAGCUCUAUAACCUCAUGCAGAACACCGAAAAAAUUCAUUAUUUCACCUUUGUGCUUACCCUCCAUGCUUAUUCCAUAAUUUCGUGUGAUUCGAUCGUGAUCAUGAUUUUUCAUUAAAAAUCGCACACUAUUAACUAUGCAUGCUGAAU